UCUCUGAUAGUAUAUCGGUUAGUACACGUGCCUGUCAUCUUCAUGAUGCUUAGAGUUUGGUCGCGCAAAAGCUAGGUUCGACUCCCAGUCAGAGAG